rnacentral:rRNA from 1 species
GACGAAUGCUGGCUGCGUGCUUAACACAUGCAAGUCGAACGGUGAAGGAGGGCUUGCCCUCCGGAUCAGUGGCGAACGGGUGAGUAACACGUGGGCAACCUGCCCCUCACUCUGGGAUAACGCCGGGAAACCGGCGCUAAUACCGGAUACGACCAGGCGCGACAUCUCGCCUGGUGGAAAGAAUUUCGGUGAGGGAUGGGCCCGCGGCCUAUCAGCUAGUUGGUGGGGUAACGGCCCACCAAGGCGACGACGGGUAGCCGGCCUGAGAGGGCGACCGGCCACACUGGGACUGAGACACGGCCCAGACUCCUACGGGAGGCAGCAGUGGGGAAUAUUGCGCAAUGGGCGAAAGCCUGACGCAGCGACGCAGCGUGAGGGACGACGGCCUUCGGGUUGUAAACCUCUUUCAGCGGGGACGAAGCGAAAGUGACGGUACCCGCAGAAUAAGCACCGGCUAACUCUGUGCCAGCCGCCGCCGUAAAAC